GAAAUGCGAUAAUUAAUGUGAAUUGCAGAAUUCAGUGAAUCAUCGAGUCUUUGAACGCACAUUGCGCCCCUUGGUAUUCCGGGGGGCAUGCCUGUCCGAGCGUCAUUGCUGCCCUCAAGCACGGCUUGUGUGUUGGGCUUCCGUCCCUGGCAACGGGGACGGGCCCAAAAGGCAGUGGCGGCACCAUGUCUGGUCCUCGAGCGUAUGGGGCUUUGUCACCCGCUCCCGUAGGUCCAGCUGGCAGCUAGCCUCGCAACCAAUCUUUUUAACCAGGUUGACCUCGGAUCAGGUAGGGAUACCCGCUGAACUUAAGC
rnacentral:misc_RNA from 1 species